UGUAGCUCAGUGGUAGAGCACAUGCCUAGCAUGCAUAAAGCCCUGGAUUCAAUCCCCAGGACUACAA
rnacentral:tRNA from 1 species